rnacentral:rRNA from 1 species
GAUGAACGCUGGCGGCGUGCCUAAUACAUGCAAGUCGAGCGAACAGACGAGGAGCUUGCUCCUCUGACGUUAGCGGCGGACGGGUGAGUAACACGUGGAUAACCUACCUAUAAUACUGGGAUAACUUCGGGAAACCGGAGCUAAUACCGGAUAAUAUAUUGAACCGCAUGGUUCAAUAGUGAAAGACGGUUUUGCUGUCACUUAUAGAUGGAUCCGCGCCGCAUUAGCUAGUUGGUAAGGUAACGGCUUACCAAGGCAACGAUGCGUAGCCGACCUGAGAGGGUGAUCGGCCACACUGGAACUGAGACACGGUCCAGACUCCUACGGGAGGCAGCAGUAGGGAAUCUUCCGCAAUGGGCGAAAGCCUGACGGAGCAACGCCGCGUGAGUGAUGAGGGUCUUCGGAUCGUAAAACUCUGUUAUUAGGGAAGAACAAAUGUGUAAGUAACUAUGCACGUCUUGACGGUACCUAAUCAGAAAGCCACGGCUAACUACGUG